UCUCUGUUAGUAUAUCGGUUAGUACACGCGCUUGUCAUAGCCUGCCUAUCGUACUGGCCGCGCGAAAGCGGGGUUCGACUCCCCGACAGAGAG
rnacentral:tRNA from 1 species